rnacentral:RNase_P_RNA from 1 species
AAGAUCAGUCGGAUGGUCGCGACUUAGUACUUACAUGAUACUAAAUCGAGGAAAGUCCGGGCUCCCGUGGGUAGACUGCCAGGUAAUACCUGGGCGUAAACGGGGUUAUCCCUCGUCUACGACGGAAAGUGCCACAGAGAACAGACCGCCCCUAGGUAACCAGGGGUAAGGGUGAAAAGGCGGGGUAAGAGCCCACCGCAUCCCUGGCAACACGGAUGGCAGGGUAAACCCCAGUUGGAGCAAGGCCAAGUAUGCGGCGAGAGUACCCACCUCAAUCAAGACGCCGCGGGUAGGCUGCUAGAGAGUCUGGGCAAUCAGACUCCGAGAGAAAUGACCAUCCUGAUGGUUCAUACCAUCGGACAGAACCCGGCUUAUAGACUGAUCACUUGA